UAUCCAGACUCCUACGGGAGGCAGCAGUGAGGAAUAUUGGUCAAUGGGCGCGAGCCUGAACCAGCCAAGUCGCGUGAGGGAAGACGGUCCUACGGAUUGUAAACCUCUUUUGCCGGGGAGCAACGGGGUCCUUGCGAGGGCCCGAUGAGAGUACCCGGAGAAAAAGCAUCGGCUAACUCCGUGCCAGCAGCCGCAGUAAUACGGAGGAUGCGAGCGUUAUCCGGAUUUAUUGGGUUUAAAGGGUGCGUAGGCGGGACCUUAAGUCAGCGGUAAAAUUGCGGUGCUCAACGCCGUAGAGCCGUUGAAACUGGGGUUCUUGAGUGAGCGAGAAGUAUGCGGAAUGCGUGGUGUAGCGGUGAAAUGCAUAGAUAUCACGCAGAACCCCGAUUGCGAAGGCAGCAUACCGGCGCUCAACUGACGCUGAGGCACGAAAGUGCGGGUAUCGAACAGGAUUAGAUACCCGCGUAUG
rnacentral:rRNA from 1 species